UCCCGCAGUGAAAUCAUGUUAAAAUUGGAAAAAUACAGAGUAGAUUAGCAUGGCCCCUGCGCAAGGAUGACACUCACAAAUCGAGAAAUGGUUCCAAACUUUU
rnacentral:snRNA from 1 species